rnacentral:rRNA from 1 species
UGGGGAAUCUUGCGCAAUGGGCGAAAGCCUGACGCAGCGACGCCGCGUGGGGGAUGAAGCCCUUCGGGGUGUAAACCCCUUUCGACCCGGACGAAUGGCCCGCAAGGGAGUUGACGGUACGGGUAGAAGAAGCCCCGGCUAACUACGUGCCAGCAGCCGCGGUAAAACGUAGGGGGCCAGCGUUGCUCGGAAUUACUGGGCGUAAAGGGUCCGUAGGCGGUGUGGCAAGUCGGGAGUGAAAUCUCAUGGCUUAACUGUGAGACUGCUUCCGAAACUGCUGUGCUCGAGUGCGGGAGAGGCGAGUGGAAUUGCCGGUGUAGCGGUGAAAUUGCGUAGAUAUCGGCAGGAACACCCGUGGCGAAGGCGGCUCGCUGGACCGCAACUGACGCUGAGGACGAAAAGCUAGGGGACAAACA